UACGAAGGGGGCUAGCGUUGCUCGGAAUGACUGGGCGUAAAGGGCGCGUAGGUGGUUCGGAUAGUCAGGUGUGAAAUUCCCGGGCUUAACCUGGGGGCUGCAUUUGAUACUGUCGGGCUUGAGUAUGGAAGAGGGUCGUGGAAUUCCCAGUGUAGAGGUGAAAUUCGUAGAUAUUGGGAAGAACACCGGUGGCGAAGGCGGCGACCUGGUCCAUAACUGACGCUGAGGCGCGAAAGCGUGGGGAGCAAACAGG
rnacentral:rRNA from 1 species